UGGGGAAUAUUGGACAAUGGGCGCAAGCCUGAUCCAGCCAUACCGCGUGGGUGAAGAAGGCCUUCGGGUUGUAAAGCCCUUUUGUUGGGAAAGAAAUCCUGUCGAUUAAUACUCGGUGGGGAUGACGGUACCCAAAGAAUAAGCACCGGCUAACUUCGUGCCAGCAGCCGCGGUAAUACGAAGGGUGCAAGCGUUACUCGGAAUUACUGGGCGUAAAGCGUGCGUAGGUGGUGGUUUAAGUCUGCUGUGAAAGCCCUGGGCUCAACCUGGGAAUUGCAGUGGAUACUGGAUCACUAGAGUGUGGUAGAGGGAUGCGGAAUUUCUGGUGUAGCAGUGAAAUGCGUAGAGAUCAGAAGGAACAUCCGUGGCGAAGGCGGCAUCCUGGGCCAACACUGACACUGAGGCACGAAAGCGUGGGGAGCAAACAGG
rnacentral:rRNA from 1 species